rnacentral:rRNA from 1 species
ACGCUGGCGGCACGCCUAACACAUGCAAGUCGAACGGAGUAGCAAUACUCAGUGGCAGACGGGUGAGUAACAUGUAGGUAUCUGCCCUUUGGCCUGGAAUAACACGAGGAAACUUGUGCUAAUACCGGAUAAGUCUUUACGGAGAAAGCUUUAUGCACCAUUGGAUGAGCCUGCACUUGAUUAGUUUGUUGGUGGGGUAAUGGCCUACCAAGACUGUGAUCAAUAGCUGAUUUGAGAGGAUGAUCAGCCACAUUGGGACUGAGACACGGCCCAAACUCCUACGGGAGGCAGCAGUGGGGAAUCUUGCACAAUGGAGGAAACUCUGAUGCAGCGAUGCCGCGUGAGUGAAGAAGGCCCUUGGGUUGUAAAGCUCUUUCGUCGGGGAAGAAAAUGACUGUACCCGAAUAAGAAGGUCCGGCUAACUUCGUGCCAGCAGCCGCGGUAAUACGAAGGGACCUAGCGUAGUUCGGAAUUACUGGGCUUAAAGAGUUCGUAGGUGGUUGAAAAAGUUGGUGGUGAAAUCCCAGAGCUUAACUCUGGAACUGCCAUCAAAACUUUUCAGCUAGAGUUUGAUAGAGGAAAGCAGAAUUUCUAGUGUAGAGGUGAAAUUCGUAGAUAUUAGAAAGAAUACCAAUUGCGAAGGCAGCUUUCUGGAUCAUUACUGACACUGAGGAACGAAAGCAUGGGUAGCGAAGAGGAUUAGAUACCCUCGUAGUCCAUGCCGUAAACGAUGUGUGUUAGACGUUGGAGAUUUAUUUUCAGUGUCGCAGCGAAAGCGAUAAACACACCGCCUGGGGAGUAC